rnacentral:snRNA from 1 species
GGAUGUGAGGGCGAUCUGGCUGCGACAUCUGUCACCCCAUUCGGAGGGUUGAUUUGGCUGAUCGGGCGGGGUAGGCGGGUGUCCCCUUCCUCCCUCACCGCUCCAUGUGCGUCCCUCCCGAAGCUGUGUGCUCGGUCGAAGAGGACGACCUUCCCCGAUAGAGGCGUACCGUUCACGGGUCAAGGGUAUAUGGUAGCUGCGCUCCCCUGCUACAACCUCCAAACGAGCUCAAGGUCCAUUUAUAGGAGAACAUAAGGUAGUCAAGCUUCCAAGACUGCAGACACAUCCAAGUGAGGCACUGCAUGGGGCAGUCUGCCACUGUUU